UUUUUAUCUUUUUCUGUAUUGGGAUUUUUAUGGGUCAUCAGUCAUCACAAAUGUGGUAUUGGUUAAUGCACUGCCAUUAAGGGCACGUUUGUUUGGCUUCACUUACCUGAACUGGAUUGGACUUUUUUAGUGUAAUCCUCUGUUUGUUGGCUACCAGGACUAAGUUUAAUGGUAUUAAGUGGGACUCGCUUUCACUAACUCCUUCGUUAGGUGGUCCUAGCGAGACCCCCCAAAUACGAGCGGACUAGCUAAGAUUGUCAUUGUCCUCCUACUCGCUCGCCUCUUCGUGUUCGUCCAGUUCGUCCUGCUUGCCUUACUUGUCAUGCUCGUCUUGAUCGUCCUGAUCGAUCUCAUCCUGAUUGCUGGACUAACUACAUCGGCCACGCUUGCUCGCUCGAGCAGGCCAAGAAAUCAAUAGGUUUUGCAGAAGGGGUAUGGAUGGUGGGCGUGAUUGAUGAGAUUAAAAUGCCUGUUACGGAAACCAACCAAAACCCAAUAUUAGUUGACACAAAGACUUGUGUGAAAGAUACACUUCUUGCCGAACCACAACGAAGAAAUGGAAGGUAUGCACCUUUAUUAGCUUCUGUUUUGGGUUGAUGUUUUGUUGCUGUUGAUGAGGAAAUGCACCAGAAUGAAGUGCAGAGUCUGCGGACUAUACUAAUACACCAAGUUAGAGAAAAGCAGUAGCAUUGGUGAUGUUUCAAUCAACAUCCUCAGUAAGUGUACAAAGAAGCACAAUUCUUGGAGUUACUUCUUUGGGGUAAUUGCUGUGUUGGUUGUGCCAUGAAUGUAUCGUUCAUGUUGUAUCGUAGCCGUUGUUUGAUUCAAUUGUUCUAAGUUAUUUUUUGGACGAAAUCGUUAAACAGGAGUUGUAAAAUUCAAUUGUUUUGCAUGGAAAGCUACGCUCAAAGUGCAAAGGAUGUCUCUCUAUCAAAUUUAGCAAAGUCAUAUAGUGAUGUUACAAUUGUAUGUUAAAAUUAGGAUGAAUGAAUAUGGUAUUAUUCAUGGA